AUACUUUUCCAGUUCAUAAGAAUAAUGAUUGUCAUGUGUUUAUGUGUCAUAUGCAUGCCUUAAAUCUUGCUAUGACAUCAGCACUUGAUCCAUCUGAUG